ensembl:lncRNA
UUGUAUUUACAUUUUAUUAAAGGCAAAGAAACACUAAAUUUAAACCUCAUUCUCCUUAUUCACUUAAAUAGUAGUCAUCAACUUUCUUCAGGUGUCUUGUUUCAAGACUGGUUGUGGAUACUACUUCAUUUCCUUGGAAAGGAUCAAAUUAAAACAAAAAAUAUUUAACAAAGUGGUAAUAUUUCAUCUUAAGGUAGAUAUGCAUGCAAAGCAGCAAGAUUUGUAAUAUACUUAUUCCAUGCAGCUUUUGACAGAUUUAAGAAAGAAAAUCAUUAAUAUGAAUAUAUAUGUGCAUAUGUAGUCCUACACUGUGAUUACACUCUGUGAUGCAUUGGUCUACCAUGGGCUGUGUUCUUCGUGGAAAGCUGUACUUGAAUUUGCGAGCACGAUAUGCAUUAAUUGCAAAAUGUUCCUUUCACUGAAGAUAGUUUCUCAUACAUUUUCAAGUUGGGUAUCUGAAUUUCCCUGUGAAACGUUACUCUUUUAGAAAGUACAAGCAUGAAAAAAGAAAUAAAAGCAUACUUACAGAUUUCAGGUGUUUACUCAGUAAUUUUUAUUUAGGAUUCAGGACAAAAGAGUCUCUGGUCCUCCAAUCAUAUUAACAGCAGCUGAUUCUGCUUUCACUGAGCCAAGUGACAUGAAUUAAUAGGGAAAGAGAAUAUGUCCAUGUGCUUAAGACUCACACUAAAUCUUCAGCACAGCUAUCAAAAACAGCAGUACUAGAUAUGAGGCCUUCUUUAAGAAGGGAAAAAAUAUAGUGGACUGAAAUACAAAUCACUUAGAGUCAAUUGGCAGCAUUAAGUGGAAAUUAGUAAUACUUGCAUAAUUAAAAAUAUAUGAUUCACCUUUUAAUGUGGAAAAGGGAAAGGACUGCAUUAGAUGCCUAAAAGAAUUUAUACGAUGCAGGAUUACUUUUCUGUCAAAUACGGGGAACCAGGUAGCAUCCAAAUGAGGGAUCUGAGGAUCACAAAUAUGGACAUUUGCUCAGCAUCUUACUACCUGCUGAGGGCAUAACAUAACUUUAAGCACCUAAAUAACAUUUAAAAGCUAUUUAGAGAGGAUCAAGUAAAUUCAAAACACUGAUUUGAAAAUACUGUUUUAUGACCCUCCUUCCAUUUGCCAUCCUAAGCCACUAAACACUCCUGUCUUCUCACUUUUCACUUAAAGUUCACUAAAGUUCACUAAUGAAGCAGAAUCAAACACUGCAACUUCACCUUAGUGAAAGGUUUAAUGUUGUAGUUUUUAUCUGGUUACAAACAAGCACCACCAGCAGUGUAAUCACAUAUAGUAAAAACAGAGCUUCGUAGAAGGUCCAUCAAAGGAAGGAAGUUCAAACUAUACCUGACUUCUGUUUCUGAGAACUUCCCAAAUGUUGAGUGGUAGAAUCAUAUAAUCAUGGAAUCCUUAGAGUUAGAAGGAACCUUCAAAGGUCAUCUAGUCCAGCUCCCCUGCAAGGAACAGGGACACCACACCCAGAUCAGGUUGCCCAGGGCCUGAUCCAGCCUCACCUUGAAAAUCUCCAGGGAUGGGGCAUCAACCACAUCACUGGGCAACCUGUUCCAGUGCCUUGUCACCCUCACUGUAGAAGUUGUUUUCCUCAUAUCUAACCUAAAUUACACUCUUUGAGCUUGAAACCAUUUCCCCUUGUUCUAUCACCACUACUUGGCUAGACAGAUUUAAAAAAAACCAACACAGUAUAUUUAAGAAUAAUGUGCAGAAUUAAAGAAUCGGAAUGUCCUAUAAAAUCAAAAAUAAAACUAUUAUAAAAUUUUAUGGGCAUAAAAACAACCCUAAACUAUACAUUUUAUUGUUAACAUCAUCACAUUGUCCCAUAAGCAUUUGUUCUGAAGAUGAAAUUUGAUGACUUUAACCUAAAGACUAAACUUGUUAAGUUGGUAAGUAUGAAGUAGGGGCUAAAGAUUGUUCCCCUUCAGUGGGAAACAAAAUCAUACAAACAAAAUAUAUUAACAUCUUGUGAUUAUAUACAUAUGCAAUUAUAAACAUUAUGUAAAAUAUAAAACACAAAAAAUAAUUGUUUAACUAUAAAAAAAACUGAAUGUAGAGGUGGUGUAUUGUUGCUGUGGUAUAUCUUUAUUCCUUUUUCUAUCCUUUUGCAAGUAUAUAGCAAAUUAAAGCUAACUAAAACUAAUCACAUCUCAAAACUCAUUAAAAGUCGAAUGUUCUACAGUGUCUCCAGGAGUCAUUUAAACCAAUUAUUGGAGUGAUAUUCAUUGUGUGUUUGUCUCUACUUAUUUUUGGGGUUAUUUUAAGCUUGAAAACAAUAAUAAAAGAAAUACUUCGGCAGAGUCAAACAUAAGAUGAAGACUAUCUUUAGGAUUUAUUAUUGUGACAAAAAGCUCAAAUUAAAACUGCUUGACAGUUUUAGAAGGAAGUUCUAAAAAUUAUUCAAGUCAAUUUAAGGUGAGUCCAUUAAAUUCUCCAAUAAAUUAUCCUAUGACACUCUCAGUACUCAGUGCAAAAGACCUGCCAAUGCACUGUGGGAUAAUUUAGUAUCUGAUCAGUGAAUUAAAUGUUCUUAUGGCUAUUUGAAAGACUGCUUAUGAAGAGUAUAGAUGGAAGAAAAGUAUAAUAGCUCCCAUAGCAAAAUCUAGAAUCUAGGUCUUGCCAUUUGUUACCAACCAAUGCUUGUCUCUUAGCCUGGUAUAGAUCAGCUUAUUUUGCAAUGCAGAAUUGCUGGAGUAGAUGAUAUUUUACUGUGAAAUAGGCAGAUACAAUCUCCUGGUAGGUAGAAAGUACAACUUUGCAUCCUCUUUAGUAAGAAGAGUCAUGACGCCCAAGUAUAAAAAUUCAUUUGCAGGAAAUGUUUUAGCCAGUGAAUAACUGAAGUACAAACAUCCUCACAAUUGCCAAAUAAGAGUAGGUCUGACCUCUCUUUAGAAAAGUAAAACUUAGAAACCUAAACAAAAGAAAAUACCAUGAAUUCUCAUCUCCUGACUGACACCUGCUUUUCUUUAAAUCCAGUUUAGCACCUGCAUUCAUUCUAUGGGUUCAUAAUGAUCCCUUGUAGCUUAAUAUGAAAUGCAAUAAAUACUACAGACUCAGCAGCUUUUCUUACCUAAAUGUUAAGGUUACAUAACAGUAUCACCAUAUGAGUUCAGUUCAGCAUCUGUUUCAUUUGUCUAGCAUGCCUGUAUCUUUGUCCCCUCACAAAGGUAAGGAUAUCUUGGGUGGGAUUCAAACACCUCACUGGAGAUGUCUGUAUACACUGGAAUGUCCUGCUGGGCCUCAAAGCGAAUGUGUAGAGGGGUGAGUCUCCUC